rnacentral:tRNA from 1 species
CUUUUAUAUAGUUUAUUAAAACAUUACAUUUUCAUUGUACAAAUAAAUUAAAUUAAUUUUAUA